rnacentral:rRNA from 1 species
UCCAGACUCCUACGGGAGGCAGCAGUGGGGGAUAUUGCACAAUGGGGGGAACCCUGAUGCAGCGACGCCGCGUGGGUGAAGGAGCGUUUCGGCGCGUAAAGCCCUAUCGGCAGGGAAGAAGGAGGACGGUACCUGACUAAGAAGCCCCGGCUAACUACGUGCCAGCAGCCGCGGUAAUACGUAGGGGGCAAGCGUUAUCCGGAUUUACUGGGUGUAAAGGGGGCGCAGACGGCAGCGCAAGCCAGGAGUGAAAGCCCGGGGCCCAACCCCGGGACUGCUCUUGGAACUGCGCGGCUGGAGUGCAGGAGGGGCAGGCGGAAUUCCUGGUGUAGCGGUGAAAUGCGUAGAUAUCAGGAGGAACACCGGUGGCGAAGGCGGCCUGCUGGACUGCGACUGACGUUGAGGCCCGAAAGCGUGGGGAGCAAACAGGAUUAGAUACCCCAGUAGG